UUAAAUGAUGGUGGAAAUUACACAUGUAAAGCACAAAGUUAUAAUGAUCCACGUUUUAAAGAUGAAAAAUCUGUUGAAGUGACAGUGAAAGCUGCUUAUCCACCACAACAAACCAAUAUUACCAUCAGUCCAAUGUCAG